GGGGUGCAGCAGGCGCGAAAACUUUACAAUGCACGAAAGUGUGAUAGGGGAACUCAGCGUGCUUAUGUUAAACAUAGGCUUUUCUUUAGGGUAAAUACCUAAGGGAAUAAAGGAUGGGCAAGACCGGUGCCAGCAGCCGCGGUAACACCGGCGUCCUUAGUGGGAAUCACUUAUUAGGUCUAAAGCGCUCGUAGUCGGCUUUGUAAAUUUCUUGUGAAAUCGUGUCGCUUAACGGCACGGCGUGCAGGAAACACUGCAGAGCUUGGGACUGGGAGGCGUCAGAAGUAUUCCUUAGGGAGCGGUAAAAUGUGAUAAUCUAAGGAGGACUACCUGUGGCGAAGGCGUCUGACGAGAACAGGUUCGACGAUCAGGAGCGAAGGCUAGGGGAGCAAACCGGAUUAGAUACCCGAGUAGUCCUAGCAGUAAACACUGUGUGCAAGGUGUUGCGUCUACAAUAGGUAGAUGCAGUAUCGAAGCGAAGGCAAUAAGCNCUCCNCCUGG
rnacentral:rRNA from 1 species